CAGCUUAAGUUCGCCUCCUCGUGGUUCUUGUGGGGUGUCAUGCACUUUUGGCAGUGCGAAUCAGUUCUGUUCGAUCCUUGCUGCAGACAAGUCCAGGAAAAUGAAAUUUUUGAUUUCGAUGGUUGUUGGCGUUGCUGUAUUUGCCAGUCUGUGCUCGGCUGAAUAUAGCAAAAAGGAAAUUAAAGGAAUUCUCAAUGGUGCUAGGGAGUGCGUUAGCCAAUUGAAAAUCGGACCGGACGCAUCCACUUUCGUUCAGGGUGUCAUGUACAACCGGGAUGUUAAGAAUGAUAUCAAAACUAAGAAAUACAUCAAAUGCGUAAUGGAAUCAAUGGGACUGGUGGAUUCGGAAGGAACCAUCCAAACGCAGGUGCUCGUGGAUUACUUCAAGGAUAAUUACGAUGAACAGUUGCUGAAAAAGUUGAUGAAAACCUGUGGACAGCCAGAGGGGGAGACCGUUGAGGAGAAAACGUGGAACUUCUACAACUGUUGCUUCGCCAACAAGGAAUUUGACAUCUGAAGGUGUUAGAAUUGUUUUACUACAUUUCAGUGUUUUAAUAUAAAAUAAUAAAAGUUUCACGUCACUUGCACUCAAUAAACACGUUUUCAUAAUAUAUGAACAUUUUCUACGAAAAACGCCCUACUCCCCCUUUUACAAUUGAUUACAUCUUACUCAUUAUCUUCAUCUUAACCUUCCUUUUGCAUCACAUUGGCAGUAGCUCGCUGACGUAGUGUACGGGUUGGGUCAAAAACGACCCUAAUGUCAAGGGAGGGUAAAGCAAACUAUAAUCACUUUAUUGCAUACAAAAUUCUUUGAGAAUUUCAGAAAGAUAGCAUCGACAGACAUCCAUGAAAACAUACAAAAAAUAUAUCAGUUUUGAAUUAUAGUUUAUUGAAUUAAAUAUCUCAUGAAGAGCAAUUAAAUAGAAAAAACUUUUUUGAUAAACUAUUCUGGUUAAAUUAAUGUUUAGUGGUGUUCUGUUUUACUUAUAAAACAAAACGAAAGUCAUAAACUUCUAUCAAUGACCAAACCAAAACUUGAAAACUUGAGAUAGUAAAAGUAGAAUUUGGAGAUGGAUUUUUAACUAUUUAUAAAUGGUGAAUAUACUGCAAAUCAAAUAUCUUGCAUAGUAGUCAACAAAUUUCAAAUCCAUCAGCACGAAAUCGUUUUUGAUAUCUAUAGAUUGUUUAACCUAACACAAUUUCUUUAUCAGAUUGAUGAACGCCCUGAAGUGAAGUUGGGAUGAUAUUCUUAUUUUUUGAAGAAAUUCCCAAAACAAUAUGGAUGUUGGUUGUUUGGCAUACGGGCGCUUGGUCGAAAAUUGUACCUGUUUUCAUUUUAAUCGUUCAUUUAUCCUUCCUUUCAACAUAGGCUAUUCGAAUAGUUUAUGACAAUAACAUGUCAUUAUUUUUAUCAAGUGUUUCUCCUUGUUCUAAACGUAGGCUACUCUUUCAACUUGCAUUGUCAUAAUAAUUAUAGGAACCUAGGGUAAUUUGUUCAGUAAGCCGUAACUUCAGAACGUUAAAUUUUUAGAGAUUAUCAUAUCGAUAAACUAAAACAAAAUAUACUAUACCGUGAUAUGAAGGCCAUGAAAAAGGCCGAUUAUAUGAACCGAGAAGAUGUAAAUGCGAAUGUUAAGAACCAAGAAUACUUGAAUUAUGAUUCGCAAGGGCAAGGAAAUGCUUAUUCCAAUCAUCCUACCAGUUCCAACCUCUGCUCAGAAGAGUAUAAAACUGGUUUAGUUGGCCAUCGGUUGUCAUUACGUAGUUUGCCCUCAGUGCAUCCGCAUCGAAGAAGAGCUACUAUGGCACGAUUACUUCUGGUGCUCGUUUUCAUUCUGCAUGGUUGCUUGGCGGAGUACAGCAAGUACCAACUGGACGCCUUCAAGGACAUAGGCGAUCAGUGUUAUCGGAAUCUGGCUAUCCCCGAUGACUCCGACCUCUUGGAACGUAUCCAGUAUCACCGGAAUGUAACGGAUGACCCUCUAACAAAGG